UAUAUAGCUAUGAUAGGAAAUAGUAAGUAUUAAUGGUCCUAGAGAGGAAAUCGAAAGGUGAAAGAUUUCUGGCCCCCUUAAUACCCAGCCCAUCCUAGAGCUUUUAGGCAGAACUUAAGUAUGCUUAAACGUUAGUUGCGUUAAAACCUCAAGGGGACUUUUUAAAGUCUAUUAGAGUGGUACCGCGGAAGUAAACCUUUCGUCUCUUAU
rnacentral:ncRNA from 2 species